rnacentral:rRNA from 1 species
GGAAUAUUGCACAAUGGAGGAAACUCUGAUGCAGCGAUGCCGCGUGAGUGAAGAAGGCCUUUGGGUUGUAAAGCUCUUUCGUCGGGGAAGAAAAUGACUGUACCCGAAUAAGAAGGUCCGGCUAACUUCGUGCCAGCAGCCGCGGUAAUACGAAGGGACCUAGCGUAGUUCGGAAUUACUGGGCUUAAAGAGUUCGUAGGUGGUUAAAAAAGUUGGUGGUGAAAUCCCAGAGCUUAACUCUGGAACUGCCAUCAAAACUUUUUAGCUAGAGUAUGAUAGAGGAAAGCAGAAUUUCUAGUGUAGAGGUGAAAUUCGUAGAUAUUAGAAAGAAUACCAAUUGCGAAGGCAGCUUUCUGGAUCAUUACUGACGCUGAGGAACGAAAGCAUGGGUAGCGAAGAGGAUUAGAUACCCUCGUAGUCCAUGCCGUAAACGAUGUGUGUUAGACGUUGGAAAUUUAUUUUCAGUGUCGCAGCGAAAGCAUUAAACACACCGCCUGGGGAGUACGACCGCAAGGUUAAAACUCAAAUGAAUUGACGGGGACCCGCACAAGUAGUGGAGCAUGUGGUUUAAUUCGAAGAUACGCGCAGAACCUUACCAACACUUGACAUGUUCGUCGCGACUCUAAGAGAUUAGAGUUUUCGGUUCGGCCGGACGAAACACAGGUGCUGCAUGGCUGUCGUCAGCUCGUGUCGUGAGAUGUUGGGUUAAGUCCCGCAACGAGCGCAACCCUCACUUUUAGUUGCCAUCAUUUAGUUGGGCACUCUGAAAGAACUGCCAGUGAUAAGCUGGAGGAAGGUGGGGAUGACGU